rnacentral:rRNA from 1 species
UCCCAGACUCCUACGGGAGGCAGCAGUGAGGAAUAUUGGUCAAUGGGCGCGAGCCUGAACCAGCCAAGUCGCGUGAGGGAUGACGGCCCUACGGGUUGUAAACCUCUUUUGUCGGGGAGCAAAUUCCGUUACGUGUAACGGAGUCGAGAGUACCCGAAGAAAAAGCAUCGGCUAACUCCGUGCCAGCAGCCGCGGUAAUACGGAGGAUGCGAGCGUUAUCCGGAUUUAUUGGGUUUAAAGGGUGCGUAGGGGGCGAUGAAAGGAAGUGGUGAAAGGCGGGGGCCCCCCCCCCGGCCCGCCGUUGAAACUGGCGGUCUUGAGUGGGCGAGAAGUAUGCGGAAUGCGUGGUGUAGCGGUGAAAUGCAUAGAUAUCACGCAGAACUCCGAUUGCGAAGGCAGCAUACCGGCGCCCAACUGACGCUGAAGCACGAAAGCGUGGGUAUCGAACAGGAUUAGAUACCCCAGUAC